GACGAACGCUGGCGGCGUGCUUAACACAUGCAAGUCGAACGGAAAUAGCGGAGUAUUUAUAUGAAGUUAUUUUAGUGGCGGACGGGUGAGUAACACGUGGGUAACCUGCCCUAUGGAGGGGGAUAACACAUAGAAAUGUGUGCUAAUACCGCAUAAUGUAGUACUACCGCAUGGUGGAACUAUCAAAGAUUUAUUACCAUAGGAUGGACCCGCGGCCCAUUAGCUAGUUGGUGAGGUAACGGCUCACCAAGGCGACGAUGGGUAGCCGGACUGAGAGGUCGAACGGCCACAUUGGAACUGAGACACGGUCCAGACACCUACGGGUGGCUG
rnacentral:rRNA from 1 species